UAGAGUUUGAACCUGGCUCAGGACGAACGUUGGCGGCGUGCCUAAUACAUGCAAGUCGAACGAGGUCUCCUAACUGAUAGCUGGUGCUUGCAUCAGCUUGACGAUAGAUCUGACCGAGUGGCGAACUGGUGAGUAACACGUGGGUAACCUGCCCAGAAGAAGGGGAUAACACCUGGAAACAGAUGCUAAUACCGUAUAACAACGAGAACCACAUGGUUCUCGUUUGAAAGAUGGCUUUUAUGCUAUCGCUUCUGGAUGGACCCGCGGCGUAUUAGCUAGUUGGUGAGAUAAUAGCUCACCAAGGCAAUGAUACGUAGCAGACCUGAGAGGGUAAUCUGCCACAAUGGGACUGAGACACGGCCCAUACUCCUACGGGAGGCAGCAGUAGGGAAUCUUCCACAAUGGACGAAAGUCUGAUGGAGCAACGCCGCGUGAGUGAAGAAGGGUUUCGGCUCGUAAAACUCUGUUGUUAGAGAAGAACGACCGUGAGAGCAACUGCUCACGGUGUGACGGUAUCUAACCAGAAAGUCACGGCUAACUACGUGCCAGCAGCCGCGGUAAUACGUAGGUGGCAAACGUUGUCCGGAUUUAUUGGGCGUAAAGCGAGCGCAGGCGGUUUUCUAAGUCUGAUGUGAAAGCCUUCGGCUUAACCGGAGAAGUGCAUCGGAAACUGGAUAACUUGAGUGCAGAAAAGGACAGUGGAACUUCAU
rnacentral:rRNA from 2 species